rnacentral:lncRNA from 1 species
AGAAAUUCAUGCGGCAAAUUACUCGUCAUUCUAAUAAUCAAAACAAAAUAAAAACAUGGUCGCAGCCGAGCCUUGCAAACUCUCAUGUCUUAUUCAUUUGUCAAAUUGUGAAGUUGAACAAUUAAGAAAUUUUACUAAUUUAACUUUUGAAAGAUUUAUUUUAUCACGAAAUGAAUGGCUUAUGAUAAGUGACGAAAAUUCAGAAGCUACGGGUAAAGCAUAUAAAGUUGUAAGUUGCCCUAAAAAUUUUGACAAAAACUCUCAUUUGGUAUACCAUCUAAAAUGUUAUAAGUAUUGAAAGAGCCAGAAAAAGAAAAUUGAAUAAUAUAUUUGAAAGCUCUAAAAUAGAAAAUAAAAAAAUCUUCCCAGUUUUUAUCAGUUAGCAUUUCAAUAAGUUCUUCAGUUUUGCAGCCACUUUGUAUUAUUUGUAAAAAAAAAAUCUUUACCAUACAGAUUUUCACGACAAAAAAGAAAAAUACAGAAACUUAGUUUGUAUCAAACUUUUGAUGGUAGCUUAUUGCGUCGAGCAGCUGAAGAUAAAAAUGAUGAAAAAUUAUAAAAAUUGUUAAAAGAGUAGAAAAUAUUGAAAGUGGAAUUCCAACUACUCUUUUUAAUUUUCUGUCAAUAAUUUUUGGUUAUACAGAUGAAGUUAGUUUAUUAUUAAUUAUGUCAAUAUAGAGUUAAUUAUGUUAAUAUAGAGUUCAAACUGAAGUUGAAAGUUCUAUCUAUUGCACAAGAUUUAUUGUUUAUUUUUUCAAAAGGUAAAACAAUAACAUAUACUAGCUACUGCUAUCAAGCAAAUGUCAGAUUCCUGUAAACUUGUAAGAAUUUUAAAUAACUUUGGACAUUGCUGUUCUGCAAUGACUUUGAGGGGGUUCGAAAGUGCAAUUGCAACUUUAAACUCUAAUUGUGAAUAUUGGGUUGUACCAAAGAAUAUUUAACAAAAUAUCUUUACUACACUUGUCUAUGAUAAUGCAGAUUUCACAGAAGAAACUCUUAGCAGAUCUGGAAUAACCCAUAUUGGACUCGGUAUUUGCAUACAAAAAAUUUUAAUGAACCAGGUAAUGAUUUUUUUAAAGUUAGCAAGCGCAUAAGGACAGUAAAUGUUGAAUUGAGUGAUAUACCAGUUUUUUUUGGGGGAAAAAAGUAUCUCUUAACUUAACAAAAUUAUUUGAAUACGAAAAUGUAGUCAUAAAUAAUACUGACAUUUGUCAGGAAUAUUACAAACAUCUUGAUUUAGCAUACAUCACUUGCAAAUUAUCUCAGUUAGAUGCAGCAGGAGUUUUGGACAGGUUUUAACACAAUACGCUCAUUAUACAGUUCAAAUAAAGGAAGCGUUUCAACAAUUGCAUACUUACCAAUUAUAAAUGCUCCUGUUACUGAUAUAUCCACCAUUCAUGAAAUUUAUAUACUGGUAUUAACAUAGCUAACAAACUUUCACUUCAUCAAAUAGUAAUGGUUUUUGAUGAGGCAGUUUAUGCAAAAAUACAGAUGGUAAGAUGGAAAAACGCAGAAUUUGUUGAUCGAGUUGUUGUAAGACUUGGGGACUUCCACAUUGUCAUGUCCUUUAUGUCAGCUAUUGCUAAACUAUUUUAAGAUGCUAGUUUACAGGAUAUACUCAUUGAGUCUGGUGUUAUUGCUUGUAGCACAUCCAAUGGAGUGAUGUCUGGCAAACAUUAUAAUCGUGGUGUUAGAGCUCAUAAAUUAAUAAAUGAAGUACUUAGUCGUCUGAGAUUUCAGUCGUUGCUUUCUUCAAAGACCAGAGAAGAAGAAGUUGACAUUUUAAAUUUUAUUUGUGGUAUGAAAGAAUGUUAUGAAGACCUAGAUGACUAUAUUAAAAUUCCAUUGUUCCAAGAUAUUAUUAUAAGCUAUCAGACUUAUGUUAAUCACCAAUGUACAAAGUCCCAGUUGUUUUCUUUCUGGAGUGUCUACUUAGAAAUGGUGCAAUUAAUGCUGCUUCAUUUAAGAGCAGUUGGUACUGAAAAUUGGGAUCUGCAUCUAUCUACUGUUAACUCCACGUUGGGAUGGUUUUUUGUUACAGAUCGUAUCAACUACAGCAGAUAUGCAUCUUGCUAAUGGUUAGAAAUGAGUGUACUUAAUCAAACUCAUAAAGAUAUUGUCUGAUUUUCCUAUUGUAUUGAAGUGUUAAGAUUAAGUAAAACAGUUUGUUUUACAACAAUAUAUAGUUUACUUACAAGAUAAUUGUUUUUUGUGUUUUUAAAAACAUUAUAGAAUUACCUUAUAUGUUUGAUUUUCUGGUAAUCAACCUACAAUAGUUUUCUUUUUUAUGUUUUUUUUUUUGUUUAUUUGUCAUGAAAUAAGAGAAAACUGGACAGUUAAAAGACAGGCAUCAUAUGGCUUUGCAGAUAUUGCAUGUGACCAAAGUAUAAAACAAACUUUUAACAGGAGUAGUAAAGUUACAUGUGGUAUUGUAGGUAUGACACAUAAGCCAGGAGCUGUUAAAAGAUGGUUGUUAACCCAAGUGGAAAGGGCUUUGUUAUUUGAAGUAGCUGAGGAAUUUGCAGGAGUAUCUUCAAUAACACGGUAGUUUAAUGAUUGUAAUGGUUGCCAUUGGUGUUCUUCUCAAGGGGUAAAAGUUAAAAAAAGAAGACACUGUACUGUUGUAAAUAAUCUUUUAUCUGCAAUCAGUGUGCCAAGCAAUAUAAGACAGACUCGAUGAUCAUUAAGUUGUAUAAAGCAUUAGAAAGGUAUUGAGUUUUUUACUUUUUUAGUUUUUUAUGGUCCUGUUAUUUUAUGUGAUGUUUUGCCUACUCAGUUUUUUGACCAUUUUACUCUUUUAUCUAAUAUUGUUUUUACGUUGAACAAUAAGGUAUUAUCUGAAAGUGUAAUUAAUGAAGCCACAUUAUUAGUUAAUAGAUUUUUUUAUGAGUUUUCUGAUUUGUAUGGUAAAGAAAAUAUGUUUUAUAUUAAAAAGUUAUUUUAAAGC